rnacentral:snRNA from 2 species
AUCGCUUCUCGGCCUUUUGGCUAAGAUCAAGUGUAGUAUCUGUUCUUAUCAGCUUAAAUAAUCAGGAUGGAAAUUCAAU